rnacentral:rRNA from 1 species
UACGUAGGGGGCAAGCGUUGUCCGGAGUUACUGGGCGUAAAGCGCACGCAGGCGGUCUUUUAAGUUUGGAGUGACAGUUGGUGGCUUAACUGCCAAAGUGCUUCGAAAACUGAGAGACUUGAGGGCUUCAGAGGGACACGGAAUUCCGGGUGGAGUGGUGAAAUGCGUAGAGAUCCGGAGGAACACCAAAGGCGAAGGCAGUGUCCUGGGGAGUACCUGACGCUAAGGUGCGAAAGCCAGGGGAGCGAACGGG